ACUAUCUGACUUACAUGUACACUAUAUUGCCUCUUGAUUUUGUGACUUUUCUAUGCAAGCUAUUAUUGUCUAAACAGAUGCGUUAUUUAUGCUAGGCUUUUUGAGACAAUCGUCAAUGGGAGAAGCUGCUAAUGAAUUCCUUUAUAGUGCUUUGGACGUGAACUCAUGGUGGUGAUUGAUUUCAAAUGAAAAUUUUCAAGCUGAAAUUAAGUACACAAGCAGCUAAAUUUUGUUUCCAUGAUUUUAUUGUACUUCUCUGAUAUUUUUUUCAUGAUUGCCGAUUGCAGCUUCGACUGUCAUAAAAAUUACGAUGCUCUUCCCAGGGUUCUUGCAAUCUUCACUUUCAGUAGGAAAUACUAUGGUUGCUUGCCAUGCCAAGAAAAUGUAGUUAUGACUUGUGAGGUAAAUUUAAUCUUAGUACAUGCAUGUGCAGGCUUGAGUUGUUAGCCUUCAAAAUUCUUGGAAUAAGAAAAAAAAGGCUCUCCCUGGAGAUAGCUGCAAUUGAGGAGCAUACAAGGGAGAUAAGAUCACCUAAUGGCUAAUGCCCUCCAACAACUAAUGGAGAAGCUUACAACCCUUGGAUUUGGAAAACGACAAGGAGAAGCAGAGCUCAACA